GAUGAACGCUGGCGGCGUGCCUAAUACAUGCAAGUCGAGCGAACAGAUGAGGAGCUUGCUCCUCUGACGUUAGCGGCGGACGGGUGAGUAACACGUGGAUAACCUACCUAUAAGACUGGGAUAACUUCGGGAAACCGGAGCUAAUACCGGAUAAUAUAUUGAACAGCAUGGUUCAAUAGUGAAAGACGGUUUUGCUGUCACUUAUAGAUGGAUCCGCGCCGCAUUAGCUAGUUGGUAAGGUAACGGCUUACCAAGGCAACGAUGCGUAGCCGACCUGAGAGGGUGAUCGGCCACGCUGGAACUGAGACACGGUCCAGACUCCUACGGGAGGCAGCAGUAGGGAAUCUUCCGCGAUGGGCGAAAGCCUGACGGAGCAACGCCGCGUGAGUGAUGAAGGUCUUCGGAUCGUAAAACUCUGUUAUUAGGGAAGAACAAAUGUGUAAGUAACUAUGCACGUCUUGACGGUACCUAAUCAGAAAGCCACGGCUAACUACGUG
rnacentral:rRNA from 1 species